CACAACAACCUUUCCAAGAGAGGGGAUGACUGCUAAUGUGCCCUCCUAGGGUUCUCCUUUGUUAAUUGCAAGCUGGAAGCAGCAAUUGCAUUGCACAUAUAUAUAUAUAUAUCUAUAUAUAUGCAUAUACAUAUAUGCAUUGCACAUUUGUCAGCCAUAUGCCAGUAUGUCAAUAUUUUCUCCAGACAGUGUGCUGCUGUGGAUUUGCAGUGGAGAUAUCUAGCUGGUGCUGCAUGUAUGUGCUCAGUUCUGUGUUCUGGGGGAGGUUUUUAUUUGCAGUUGGUUCCUGGAUGGAAAGUUCUGGCCUGCACUGGAAAAGGAUGCAUUUCAUAAUGCAUAUGAUUUUCAGGAAUAAGUAAAUCAAGAGCUUUUGUAUGAAAAUGAUUCCUAAUAUAACAUUUUAAAUAAAUCAUUCCUGGAUAUUUAAAUCAUCUCAUGAUUAAGUUUGGAUCUUCCUUGUCAUUUGGUGAAUAAAUGUGAAAUUCUUUAGCUGUCUAAUGUGAUCUACUGUCUGCUAAUACCCAGCUCUCUGAAACCCUUUGUAAAUCAUUGUAAUUUGCAUCAUCUGUUUGGCUAACACAUAGUGUCUGCUAACACACAGUGUCUGCUUUCCAAAACUGUGUAGAUGAUAAUCUGUUUUAAUACCUGUACAAAUCAAUUAAAUUUAUUUUGUGCACUGUUCACUAGCUGCCAAAUUGGGUGGAGAAUAGAAACACUUAGCAGGGGAAUCAGACUCUACAUAAACAUGCAUUAGAUGAGCCUUGCAAUCUGAGCGGGGGAGGAUGUGAAAUUUAGUAUUUUAUUUCCUCAUCUACAAAUAGAUUUUUUAAAAUGGCUUCUAGAAACAAAAAUAUAGGGCAGAAUUGUGUAGCCCUUACUCAUGUUGCUGAGCAGAUUCAUUCUGGAUUUAUCCCACUGGAGUUUAAUACUAUCUCCUCCAGGGUGGCUGAAAGGAUGCAGAGCUCCUUGCGAGGCACUUUGAUGCUGAGUCUGGCGCAGAACGUGGGCAGGAUUUCUUCAAACCUCCUCAAGGGCCAGACUUCUGACUCCUCUUUGCUGCUUCGGGGCCCCAUUGCUCCAGGAUCCUAUAAGCUUUGA
rnacentral:lncRNA from 1 species